GACGCGGCAGCCGGCAGCCCAGCACGCCGUCGGUAGGCGGCAGCGGCCACUGGCCGGACGGCGGACGCCCACGCGAGCAGGGACUGCACGCGCGGCGAGCAGCCGAGCAGGCAAGGCGCUGAGGUGUAUUGCAAUUUGCAAGACGCCAAGACGCAAGCCGCCGCCGGCAAGCAAGCGACAGCAAGCAACCAAGCACCUAGCGGCAGGUAUAUACUAAUAUACAUGUUCGUUUUCUUUAGAAUUUUCCUUUUAACUUCAACUUUGUAAUUUUUAAUUGUUUCAAAUUCUAUUAUAAGAUUUUAUAAAUUGCAGAUUGUUAUGGAUUGCUAGAAAAAGUCCAGACUUUCUUGGAUGUACAGAGCUUGGAAAGGUUGCUGAAAUUAUGGUGAAGACCAAUAUGAAAACAUCUUAUGGAUUGGUUUAUCGGCUCAUUGAAUUAACAUUAAUUCUUCCAGUGGCAACAGCUACAGUUGAAAGGAUAUUUUCUGCUAUGUCUAUUAUAAAGACAAAUUUACGUAACAGAAUGGGUGAUGAAUGGCUCAAUGACCAAAUGAUAUGCUACACUGAGAAGGAGAUAUUUAGAAACAUCAAGAAUGACAAAAUCAUAAAAAGAUUUGAAGACAUGAAAACACGGCGUAUGUUAGUGCCUCGGAACAAUUUAGUGGUAUGAUAUGUGUUCUCUUGUACCUCCAAAACUUUGAAGUUGUAUACUUGAAAUUUGUGUCACUAAUUUUUUUCUGUAUAUAGAUUGCUUCUAAUGAUUCAUGAAGAAUGCAGCAGUGCAAAAGUGCGGAACGUCGAUCUUUGUUGGUUAGUUAUGAAAAACUGUAUCUUUUAUUUUUAUACUUAUGCGUUUUAUAAUACGCUUUCGAUUAUUUAUUAUAGUUAUCAUGUAAAAGGUUCAAAACUGCUAUAGUUUAG
rnacentral:lncRNA from 1 species